GUGGGCAUUGUUUGGCCGCCAGAGUGUGGCGAGCGCCCAAGAGCCCGAGAGCCUGGCUGGCACGACCGCCCCUGCGUGUCUUUGGCCCCGGACACACAGCAGAGCCGUUUCCCACGCUCUAGGCUCCUGGCAGCCCCAGGAAGGGGAGCGGGCCCUGGCCUUGGAAGAGGGGAAACUGAGGCCUGGAGAAGCACGGAGCUAGGAAGUCGGGGCCAGCAGGAAUGAGACAAGGGGAGGGACGCCGGCUGCUGUGAGGAAUCACUGGGACCUGGUGAUACUGGGACUUGGGUCAGUAAUAGGCUCAAGCUGCAGAGGCCGGUGUCCGAGGCACGGCCAACCCCUCCCCAGCCUGUGUGCCGCUCAGAUUCUCUCUGGCCUCCAAGCCUUUGCUCCUGCUGGCCACUCCACCCCAAAGCCCUUCCCUCACUUUGAUUCCAACACACAAAUUUCCCCGUAAGACGUCACCUCCUCCGAAAUGCCUUCCUCAGCUCCUCCCCAUCCAGUGGGAAGGGCCACAGGUCCUGUUUUGCUUGCCCAUUUCCAGACAUAGCCCAGCUUCUCUUUGGAGACGUGCUCCUCUCCUGUGCUGUGUGGUCUUGGGGUGCAGAAGAUCUCAGGGUCCACCCUCCCAUUGCAGAGACUGAAGGGUACCUGGGGGUCUUCUGGAGGGACCCUUCUCACUGCCUGAAUCAGCCAAGGAUGGGUUGUGUGAUGUCUGCUGAGACUCGGGUGUUGAACGAAGGAUAAAAGCAGGUCUAUUGCUUGUACCGGCCAACCUAUGACCCCCACCAGGCCCCAGGGAGGUGGCAGUGGCUCCUCCUUGGAGGUUUCCAGGCCAAACAGCGCCAGGUCCUGGGCUCAGAGAAGAGAUGGACGAAUGGGGAACCCUUCAGAGGAACAGCCCUGGGGUCAAAC
rnacentral:lncRNA from 1 species